rnacentral:rRNA from 1 species
GACGAACGCUGGCGGCGUGCUUAACACAUGCAAGUCGAACGAAGUGGCGAACGGGUGAGUAAUACGUGGGUAACCUGCCCUCCUUUUUGGGAUAAGCCUUGGAAACGGGGUCUAAUACCGAAUAAAGGGGGAUGGGCUCGCGGCCUAUUAGCUUGUUGGGGGGGGGAGGGCCUCCCAAGGCGGUGACGGGGAGCCGGGCUGAGAGGGGGAACGGGCACAAUGGGACUGGGAUACGGCCCAGACUACCACGGGAGGGAGGAGUGGGGGAUAGUGAAAAAAGGGGGGAAGGCUGAUGCCGCGGAGCCGGGGGGGGGAUGAAGGCUUUCGGGUUGUAAACCUCGUUCGGUAUCGAAAGGGUAGGUGGAGAAGAAGCGCCGGCUAACUACGUGCCAGCAGCCGCGGUAAUUC